rnacentral:misc_RNA from 1 species
AGCAGCCGCGGUAAUUCCAGCUCCAAUAGCGUAUAUUAAAGUUGCUGCAGUUAAAAAGCUCGUAGUUGAAUUUCGGGACUAAUAUGUCGGUCGUGCCUCGGUACGUACUGGCUUAUUGGUUUCUCCUUUCUGAAGAACCAUGAUGUCAUUUAUUUGGUGUCGUGGGGAAUCAGGACUGUUACUUUGAAAAAAUUAGAGUGUUUAAAGCAGGCUCACGCUUGAAUACAUUAGCAUGGAAUAAUGAAAUAGGACGUUUGAUUCUAUUUUGUUGGUUUCUAGGAUCGACGUAAUGAUUAAUAGGGAUAGUUGGGGGCAUUAGUAUUCAAUUGUCAGAGGUGAAAUUCUUGGAUUUAUUGAAGACUAACUACUGCGAAAGCAUUUGCCAAGGAUGUUUUCAUUAAUCAAGAACGAAAGUUAGGGAUCGAAGACGAUCAGAUACCGUCGUAGUCUUAACCAUAAACUAUGCCGACUAG